GUGUCAGCCAUGGGACCCCAAGUCUCCAGCCAUGUCCAGUUCUCUGCAGACACUGAAUGCAUGUGCCAAGGCAAGCUGUCCACAACUGCUGCUGGAAGAGUGGUGCAGAGCCAACAGUUGGAAAUAUUGGUCACCUCAGCCUACGUGUGGGCCCAGUUCAUGAUGCAGUUGGAGCAUGUUAACUUGUGGUUGAAAUGACAGAGCAGGCAUAGGCACCAACAGAGGGUCUGUAUUCUUGUGGGAGCUUGUAGAAUUCCUUUGAGAGAGCAAGGUGUGGGUGAUGAGAAAGGUAUCCAGAUGGAGAAAGGGGC